rnacentral:rRNA from 1 species
UACGGAGGGUGCAAGCGUUGUCCGGAAUCACUGGGCGUAAAGGGCGCGUAGGCGGCUCAUGAAGGCUGUGGUGAAAGUCCGGGGCUCAACCUCGGAUCGGCCGUGGCGACUCGUGGGCUGGAGCACUGUAGAGGCGGGUGGAAUUCCGGGUGUAGCGAUGGAAUGCGUAGAGAUCCGGAAGAACACCAGUGGCGAAGGCGGCCCGCUGGGCAGUGGCUGACGCUGAGGCGCGACAGCGUGGGGAGCAAACAGG